rnacentral:rRNA from 1 species
GAUGAACGCUAGCGGCAGGCUUAAUACUUGCAAGUCGAACGGGAUUGAGAAGCUUGCUUUUCAUGAGAGUGGCGCACGGGUGCGUAACACGUAUGCAACCUGCCUUGUCCAGGGGGAUAGCCCGUUGAAAGACGGAUUAAGACCGCAUACCAUCAUUGAAUGGCAUCGUUUAAUGAUCAAAUAUUUAUAGGGACAAGAUGGGCAUGGGUCUGAUGAGCUAGUUGGCGGGGUAACGGCUCACCAAGGCGACGGUCAGUAGGGGUUCGGAGAGGAAGACCCCCCACACUGUACUGGAACGCAGACCAGACUCCUAGGGGCGGCGGCAGUAAGGAAUAUUGGUCAGUGGGCGCAAGCCUGAACCAGCCGUGCCGCGGGCAGGAAGACGGCCCUACGGGUUGUAAACUGCUUUUAUACGGGAAUAACCCCGGUUUCGUGAAACCGGCUGAAUGUACCGUAAGAAUAAGGAUCGGCUAACUCCGUGCCAGCAGCCGCCGUAA